rnacentral:lncRNA from 1 species
CGGGGCUCCAGGUCCCACGUUCUAUCUGCUCAACUCGGGCUCCGCUUUGGGUGCUUCCAGCUUCAUAAAACCCAGCAAAAUCAACAGUUGGAUAUCGGAUGACUGAGUAAUUCCUAUGGCACAGGCUGCGAUUCGACCCAGAGCCACAUGGACGCCCUCCCAGCUGGCAUCCCCAGGCAGCACUGUGCUGCCCUUGGUGCCGACUGCCUCCUGGACUCCAAGGACCAUCUCCUGGCUCACAGCUGGGCAGGCUCCCACUCGGAGCUGCUGCACUGGGCAGGCUCGCUGGCAGCAGCACUCACCUGCACCUAAGUGAGAGCACGAGGCCUGGAUGCCUGCUAGACCUGGUUGGCCCUAGCAGGAGGCAGGAUGGACACGACUGUCAGCCUUUGUCUGCAGGCAGGUGCACCGUGGUCACGCUGAUGGAGAGAGUGAGGGAGGGUGUAUAUAGGUUUGUGGGGGGUAUACUGGGGGCGUGUUCCAUGCUGAGAGGGCUGAUUCAGUUGCAUAAAUGCCAGCAGCCUGCUGCUUUCACAGAGGUUGCCUCCCAGACGUGUUCUCUGGAGAGAGGGUGGACAGCAUAGGGUGAUGGAGAUGCUGACUAUCCCUUCCUGAGGUCAGGACCCUCUCCUUAUCCAGCAGUGGUACAGAUGGGGUAGCAGCAGCAGCAGCAAG